rnacentral:rRNA from 1 species
GCGGCCAUGGCGUGUCACGCAAGCCUGAUGCAGCCAUGCCGCGUGUAUGAAGAAGGCCUUCGGGUUGUAAAGUACUUUCAUCGGGGAGGAAGGUGUUGUGGUUAACUGUGCACGUCUUGACGGUACCUAAUCAAAAAGCCACGGCUAACUACGUGCCAGCAGCCGCGGUAAUACGUAGGUGGCAAGCGUUAUCCGGAAUUAUUGGGCGUAAAGCGCGCGUAGGCGGUUUUUUAAGUCUGAUGUGAAAGCCCCCGGCUCAACCGGGGAGGGUCAUUGGAAACUGGAAAACUUGAGUGCAGAAGAGGAAAGUGGAAUUCCAUGUGUAGCGGUGAAAUGCGCAGAGAUAUGGAGGAACACCAGUGGCGAAGGCGACUUUCUGGUCUGUAACUGACGCUGAUGUGCGAAAGCGUGGGGAUCAAACAGGAUUAGAUACCCUGGUAGUUCCCACACACAAA